AUGUGUAUUCCUAAGAAGAGAGGAGGAAUGGGCUUCAGAUAUAUUCAAAGUUUUAACUUGGCUAAGCUAGCUAAGCAGUGUUGGUGGCUAAUUGAUAAUUAUGACUCUCUUUGCGGCAAGGUUUUGAGAUCAAAAUAUUAUCCAUCUGGUGAUUUGUUGAAUUGUGAGCUGAAAAAGGGUUCAUCUUAUGUGUGGCAAAGUAUUUGGGCAGGGAUACAAACCUUUAAGAAGGGUUGUAUAUGGAGAGUUGGAGAUGGUAAUAAAAUCAAUAUUUGGGAUGACUGCUGGAUCCCAAACAGUUCAUCCAGGAAGAUAGUUACUGUACGUGGUAACUGUGUGUUGAUGACGGUGAACGAACUCAUCAUCCUUAUAACAGGAGAGUGGGAUGAAAUACUUAUUCGAGAUAACUUCUGGCACAUUGACGCUGAAAGAAUCUUACAAAUUCCUAUAUUUAAACAUGAGACCGAAGAUUUUGUUGCAUGGCAUCUGACGAAAUCUGGAAUUUUCAAUGUUCGGUCUGCUUACUACAGGCAAUGGGAGGAAUACCAUGCGGCAGGUAAUGGUUACCCCUCGGGAAUUAGUGGAUUGUCAGUACAUCCUGUCUGGAAGCGACUUUGGAACCUGAAGGUACCAGCCAAGGUAAAUAUUUUCUUAUGGCGAUGCCUCCAUAAUGCGAUCCCAUGCUACUGUGUUCUUGCAAACAGACAUAUUUCUAACUCAAGACAAUGCCCAAUCUGCUCUACACACGCGGAGGAUGUGGCCCAUAUGCUAUUUUUCUGUGGACGUGCACAUGAGGUAUGGCGGUCACUGGGUGUGCGUGAGAUGAUAGUUGAAAUAGCUACUCCAGGAAAGUCAUGA
rnacentral:rRNA from 1 species